ncrna:unclassified sequences DTF3800-VIII RNA
CCCCCUCUGCUUUGUCGAAGCCCUGCGAACCUCGCGGGGUAUGUGUAGGCAAAGUGGAGGGGA